rnacentral:tRNA from 1 species
GGACAGGUGGCCGAGUGGUUGAAGGCGUCGGUCUCGAAAACCGAUUUAGGUGCAAGCCUAACGUGGGUUCGAAUCCCACCCUGUCCGCCA